CUCCAGUUAGCCUAGUAAUUAAGGCUAUGGAUCGCCAAUCCGAAGACGGCGGAUUCGAUUUCCGUUCUGGUCG
rfam:Aedes albopictus isolate Foshan contig96688, whole genome shotgun sequence.